CAUGGAAACACUGGUUCCAUAUGAUCACCAAAGUUAAGCAACAUCGUGCCUGGUCAGUACCUAGAUGGGUGACUGCUUGAGAAUA
rnacentral:rRNA from 1 species